UUAUGACCCUAGUGUCGAUCUAUUGCAUUUCAAUCUAUUUUAGGGUUACGGUUAGUUAGGGGUUAGGGUAUCUUUUUUUCUUCACAAAUGUAAAUAAACCCAAUCUGUUUCAUAAACGAGGGACAUACUCAUAUAGCACAGAAUGGCUUUUACCUCAAUAGACGUCACUGAUUGGUUGAAAUUGCAGAAAUUGGAGAAAAAUAAACAACAAAUAUCUUACAAACCAUAGAAUUUUCUCAAUAAAGCCAAGA